AACCGACACAGGUAGGCGAGAAGAGAAUUCUAAGGCGCGCGGAAGAACUCUCGUUAAGGAACUCGGCAAAAUGACCCCGUAACUUCGGGAGAAGGGGUGCCUCGGUAGGGUGAAUAGCCCGAGGGGGCCGCAGUGAAAAGGCCCAAGCGACUGUUUAGCAAAAACACAGGUCUGUGCGAAGCCGCAAGGCGAAGUAUACGGGCUGACGCCUGCCCGGUGCUGGAAGGUUAAGGGGAGUGGUAAGCCUUCGGGCGAAGCUAUGAACCGAAGCCCCAGUAAACGGCGGCCGUAACUAUAACGGUCCUAAG
rnacentral:rRNA from 1 species